UCUCCGUUGGUGAACCAGCGGAGGGAUCAUUACAGAGUUCCACACCUCCAAACCCCUGCGAACCGUACCCUAGUUUGUUCGCGUUGCCUCCUGGCGGCAGGCCCCCGGCGCCACCGCCGGGGCCCCCGCCAGCGGCGCCGAGCCCCCUGAACCAUUUUUUCCCAACCAGUCCGUCUGAGCAAACAAACAAACGAAUCAAAACUUUCAACAACGGAUCUCUUGGUUCUG
rnacentral:misc_RNA from 1 species